rnacentral:rRNA from 1 species
AUGCGCACACACUCCCUCUCCACCUUCCGCCUCGUCGUGCCCCCCUCCGACCGCGCCCUCUCCGCCCUCCUCGCCGCCUACUACGACGCCGACCAGCCCGCCCGCGCCAUCCAGGCCUUCCGCGACCUCCCAGCCGAGCUCUCAAUCAUGCCGGGCAUCGUGUCCCACAACGUGCUCCUCAAGUGCAUGGUCGCCACGGGGGACGUUGCCGGCGCCCGCCAGGUGUUUGACGGAAUGCCCAGUUCGUCAAAUAGAGUAGUUUUUUUAGAAGUUGAAAUAGAGUUUGCUUGUUCGUGGAUGAGUGAGUGGUGA